CAUUUAGAGGAAGUAAAAGUCGUAACAAGGUUUCCGUAGGUGAACCUGCGGAAGGAUCAUUAUUGAAUUUAAUAAAGAGUUUGGUUGUAGCUGGCCUAAUUGAUUUUUUGAAUUAAAAUUUUAAUUCAGGCAUGUGCACGCCUUUCUCUUUCAUCCAUACACACCUGUGCACCUGUGAGACAGAUUUAGGGGAACUUUCAUUUUUUUUGAGGGGGACCCUGCUGUCUAUUUAAUUUAUAUAAACUCAAUUUAUUUUAAAAUGAAUGUAAUGGAUGUAACACAUCUAAUACUAAGUUUCAACAACGGAUCUCUUGGCUCUCGCAUCGAUGAAGAACGCAGCGAAAUGCGAUAAGUAAUGUGAAUUGCAGAAUUCAGUGAAUCAUCGAAUCUUUGAACGCACCUUGCGCUCCUCGGUAUUCCUUGGAGCAUGCCUGUUUGAGUAUCGUGAAAUCUUCAAAGUAAAUCUUUUGUUCACUCAAUUGGUUCUACUUUGGUAUUGGAGGUUUAUUGCAGCUUCACACCUGCUCCUCUUUGUGCAUUAGCUGGAUUCUCAGUGUUAUGCUUGGUUCCACUUGGCGUGAUAAGUUAAAUUUAAUCGCUGAGGACACACUCUCUAUAACCAAAAAAAGGGGGGGUGGCCAUGGUAAAUACAGAUGAACCCGCUUCUAAUAGUCCAUUGGCUUGGACAAAAAUUAUCUAUUACGAUCUGAUCUCAAAUCAGGUAGGACUACCCGCUGAACUUAAGCAUAUCAAUAAGCGGAGGAAAAGAAACU
rnacentral:rRNA from 1 species